CAGUAGCCGCGGGAAUACGGAGGGUGCAAGCGUUGUCCGGAAUUAUUGGGCGUAAAGGGCUCGCAGGCGGUUUCUUAAGUCUGAUGUGAAAGCCCCUGGCUCAACCGGGGAGGGUCAUUGGAAACUGGGAAACUUGAGUGCAGAAGAGGAGAGUGGAAUUCCACGUGUAGCGGUGAAAUGCGUAGAGAUGUGGAGGAACACCAGUGGCGAAGGCGACUCUCUGGUCUGUAACUGACGCUGAGGAGCGAAAGCGUGGGGAGCGAACAGGAUUAGAUACCCCGGUAGUCCCUGUCCUUAUACA
rnacentral:rRNA from 1 species